rnacentral:rRNA from 1 species
UGGGGAAUUUUGGACAAUGGGCGCAAGCCUGAUCCAGCAAUGCCGCGUGCAGGAUGAAGGCCUUCGGGUUGUAAACUGCUUUUGUACGGAGCGAAAAGGUCUGCCCUAAUACGGUGGGCUCAUGACGGUACCGUAAGAAUAAGCACCGGCUAACUACGUGCCAGCAGCCGCGGUAAUACGUAGGGUGCGAGCGUUAAUCGGAAUUACUGGGCGUAAAGCGUGCGCAGGCGGUUAUAUAAGACAGAUGUGAAAUCCCCGGGCUCAACCUGGGACCUGCAUUUGUGACUGUAUAGCUAGAGUACGGUAGAGGGGGAUGGAAUUCAGCGUGUAGCAGUGAAAUGCGUAGAUAUGCGGAGGAACGACGAUGGCGAAGGCAAUCCCCUGGACAUGUACUGACGCUCAUGCACGAAAGCGUGGGGAGCAAACA